rnacentral:rRNA from 1 species
GAUGAACGCUAGCGGCAGGCUUAAUACAUGCAAGUCGUGGGGCAGCAUGACUGUAGCAAUACAGUUGAUGGCGACCGGCAAACGGGUGCGGAACACGUACACAACCUUCCUUUAAGUGGGGAAUAGCCCAGGGAAACUUGGAUUAAUACCCCGUAACAUAUAGAAGUGGCAUCACUUUUAUAUUAUAGCUCCGGCGCUUCAAGCUGGGUGUGCGGCUGAUUAGAUAGUUGGCGGGGUAACGGCCCACCAAGUCGACGAUCAGUAACUGGUGUAAGAGCACGACCAGUCACACGGGCACUGAGACACGGGCCCGACUCCUACGGGAGGCAGCAGUAAGGAAUAUUGGUCAAUGGACGCAAGUCUGAACCAGCCAUGCCGCGUGGAGGAUGAAGGUCCUCUGGAUUGUAAACUUCUUUUAUCUGGGAAGAAACCCAUCUUUUCUUGGGUGGUUGACGGUACCAGAUGAAUAAGCACCGGCUAACUCCGUGCCAGCCGCCGCGGUAAUAC